CGAAAUUGCACUUUUGAGCAUGACAGUUGGCUUGCAAACUGCAGGGCCAUUUUAUGAGUGGGUAGGAGCAGGCUUAACAAGUGUCAAGAUAUCUGGGUUGAGAAAUGGAACGGCGGACUUGUCCUCGAAUAAAUGGGCCUAUAAGAUCGGAUUGGAAGGAGAGCAUCGAAGUAUCUACAAGCCAGAUUCUACAAAUAAUGUGAAAUGGAUUCCAAAAUCAGAGCCACCAAUAUAUCAACCUUUGACGUGGUACAAGGUAAUUGUGGAUACCCCUAAUGGGAAAGAACCGCUUGGAAUCGACAUGAAAUACAUGGGAAAGGGCCAAGUUUGGUUAAAUGGGAAUGCUAUUGGAAGAUACUGGCCUCGGACAAGUUCUAUAAAUG
rnacentral:misc_RNA from 1 species